GAACUGUCUUCGAAAUGGCCAAAGCAGGAAGCAGGUUUUGGUCACCUGUCAAAUGUUUAACUCGAGGGACAAGGAUGGGACUCUCAUCAUUCUUCAACACACAGGCUGGGGGGGGGGCGGUAAUGGAGGCUGACCCGGGGCAGAAAGUUCCUGGAGGACGGGAUGUGUCGAGGGGCAACACCCGUGGCCCCCCUCCUGCUGCUAGCCAUAACCUCUCUGCAAGUGUUUGUUCCUGCUGAAGGCACCCAACUCAGUAACUCAGCGCCUUGUCUUGGUCACUGAGCCUUGGCGCAAGGCUAGUUGUGGGGCCAGUUAGGACUACAGCCCCGGAGAUCCUAAAUUCACAUCUUUGGCAGAGUUCAGGCAGAUGUGUCUUCUUCUACAGGUUUUUCGAGAGAAAGGUCCUGUCAGUCCAGCUCACUAGCUUUUCCAUCAGUUUCCUCCCGUGGGGAGGGUAUGUGGGCGUGGGCGGCGAAACGUGGAUCCCUUUGGUCCAUGCCACCACGCACACGCUUCUCCGAGAAGCCCUGGCUGUGCUCAUCUGACAUGAGAGUCACACUGAGUCCAGCUUCUUCGGGUGCCUGUGCUGGCUAGGAGGCUCUCCUGAGGGCAGAGGCCCCAACCCCACCAGCAAGAAUCAGAGCUGCACCAGCGAGGAGCCCGGCAGAUUGCACUGUGCUGAAAACCUGUUUGUUCUGUCUGCUGAGGUCACCGCUCGAGUAGGUCACCAGAGAUGGUGGAGGAAUUCUGCUUAUUCAUUCUAACACUCGAGUGACAGUCCCCAGCCUCGUCGCUUGAUUUGAGCCUCAUUGUCUGCAAGUUUUGGUAACCCCACUACCUACCCACUCUCUUGUGAAAGGGCUUAUAUACAUAUACAUAAGCAAAUACAUGUGUGUGUAUGUUAUUCCCCACUCCGGAUCUAGAGUUCAGCGUGGGCUCGACUGGAAUCUGAGGGCUAAACUGUUUGUUGUCAGGGUUCUCCUCUAACCCCUCUAUCUUCCCCAGCACCCUCCUCCUUUGUCACAUUUGAAACACACAUUUUGUCUUCAAAAUAAAAAUUUAUUCAAUCUGUAACAAGAACACUUAAUCUGCACAUCUGCGCACAAGUUCACAUUUAAAAACAGUGGAGCACAUCGGUAAUAAUAAAAACAACUAUGAUACAAGUGGGACAUCCCAACCACCAGGAUUAAGGAAGGAGAUGAGACCACUCUUUAUAUUCUGCUUUAAAUGCCUCAAAAAGGUCCCAGAGAUUCCAGGGAGCACCUGCUUUUAAUAAAAUGAGAGCACAGAAGUUUGGGGUAGCCUGGGCAAAGGUAACAGUCAGUGCGAGUCUUUUGGACUUAUUUGGGUUUCAAACAAGUCUUACAAAGCAAAGUUAAAAAAAAAAGGGUGGGGCGGGGAAAGGCAC